rnacentral:rRNA from 1 species
ACAGUAAGAGGAACAACAGGGAUUGCCUCAGUAACGGCGAGUGAAGCGGCAACAGCUCAAAUUUGAAAUCUGACCCCUUCGGGGCCCGAGUUGUAAUUUGUAGAGGAUGCUUCGGGUGCGGCGUCGUUCUAAGUUCCUUGGAACAGGGCGUCAUAGAGGGUGAGAAUCCCGUAUGCGACCGGCGACCAACCCCAUGUGAAGCCCCUUCGACGAGUCGAGUUGUUUGGGAAUGCAGCUCAAAAUGGGUGGUAAAUUUCAUCUAAAGCUAAAUACCGGCCAGAGACCGAUAGCGCACAAGUAGAGUGAUCGAAAGAUGAAAAGCACUUUGGAAAGAGAGUCAAACAGUACGUGAAAUUGUUGAAAGGGAAGCGCUUGCAACCAGACCUGCCCGCGGGCGAUCAACCGUUAUUCUUAGCGGUGCACUCGCCCGCGAUCAGGCCAGCAUCGGUUCGAGCGGCCGGAUAAAGGCCCCGGGAAUGUAGCUCCCUUCGGGGAGUCUUAUAGCCCGGGGUGCAAUGCGGCCAGCCCGGACCGAGGACCGCGCUUCGGCUAGGAUGCUGGCGUAAUGGCUGUAAGCGACCCGUCUUGAAACACGGACCAAGGAGUCUAACAUCUAUGCGAGUGUUUGGGUGUCAAACCCAUGCGCGGAAUGAAAGUGAACGGAGGUGGGAACCCGCACGGGCGCACCAUCGACCGAUCCAGAUGUCUUCGGAUGGAUUUGAGUAGGAGCAUAGCUGUUGGGACCCGAAAGAUGGUGAACUAUGCCUGAAUAGGGUGAAGCCAGAGGAAAACUCUGGUGGAGGCUCGCAGCGGUUCUGACGUGCAAAUCGAUCGUCAAAUUUGGGUAUAGGGGCGAAAGACUAAUCGAACCAUCUAGUAGCUGGUUCCUGCCGAAGUUUCCCUCAGGAUAGCAGUAACGUUUUCAGUUUUAUGAGGUAAAGCGAAUGAUUAGAGGCCUUGGGGUUGAAACAACCUUAACCUAUUUCUCAAACUUUAAAUAUGUAAGAAGUCCUUGUUACUUAGUUGAACGUGGACAUUUGAAUGCACCGUUACUAGUGGGCCAUUUUUGGUAAGCAGAACUGGCGAUGCGGGAUGAACCGAACGCGAGGUUAAGGUGCCGGAAUGCACGCUCAUCAGACACCAAUCAGUUGUAUUCGUGGUGUCUGGCUCGGGCGUCUGCUGACCCCGAAACAGUCCGUUAUGCGGGCGAGGUCAUUGAUCUGCGUGGAGCGCUAGGUAGCUAGUUUACCCGCAGCCGUCUUUGGACGGUUCACAGAUUAAGUUUUGACCGGCGGUCGUUUGAAAACCGCUCAAGAUAUGAUCGGCCCCUUGGCGACGAGCCUCGGGAUAAUGCGCGAAAGGUGUUAGUUCAUCCAGACAGCCGGACGGUGGCCAUGGAAGUCGGAAACCGCUAAGGAGUGUGUAACAACUCACCGGCCGAAUGAACUAGCCCUGAAAAUGGAUGGCGCUCAAGCGUGCUACCCAUACCUCGCCGCCAGGGUAGAAACGAUGCCCUGGCGAGUAGGCAGGCGUGGGGGUCCGUGACGAAGCCUGGGAGGUCCCGGAAA